UCUAAGCUCCCCGGCAGCCAACGAGGAGAGCUAUGAACCCACUUACCUCCUGAGAGCCCCAUCUGUCUGCUGUGUGUAGGCUCUGCUGGCCGGUGGUCUUCAGCAUUUGGCUGGCCACCCUUAGUUUCUUGGUCCUUCUUUGUGCCAAUAACUCUGAAGUCCACAGCUGCUCUUGGCUGCUAUUGGAAACCUAUGCACUGCUGGAAAGGCUAUUGGAAUGCUAGAAUAGAACUAAGGAAAAUACCACAGUGAGUGCCGAUCUCAGCUUAGACAGACCAAAUCACCACAGAAGUACAGAAGCCAAGAAACACAGUGUUCGUGAUAUAGAACUUGUUUGCGUUUGCCCAGAUACGGAUGUGUAGAGAAGUGGAAGUGUGUCUCCUCAAGCCAUUUCCUGGAGCAUGAGAGAAAGGAAGGAGAUGAAGGCUGGGAUCCAGGAGGCAGACACGUUUUGCCACAGUGCGUUUUGCUUACGCACUCUGAGACUCUAAAUGGAUGCUGCUGCCAUGGAAGCUCCAACAACCGUGGAAUUAUGGGAAAGCUCUUCUCAGCCGUUAGCUUUGCUGUAUCCGAGACUGGUGUAGAAAGAAGCAGAGCUUUUGAAGGGUACUUUCCAGGAGAUGUUUUCUCUUUUCUUGCGGCUAGCACAUAGAGAGAAAAACGAAAAACAAGCAAGCAAGCCAGCCAGCCAGCCAGCCAGCCAGCCAGCCAGCCAGCCAGCCAGCCAAUGAUCUUCUCAGUCUCACAUUAAAAGGCAGCUGGUGUGCCUACUAGAAGUGGAUGUAUACCACCAGAGAUACACCUCACUAGAACACUGUCGGGGUUUCCACAGCAACCAUUCAAAUGAGCAUGACUAUCAUCUGUUAGACAAUAGCUGGUUAACUCACUUGAUGCUCCUAACGACCCUAGGAUUUACUGUUAUUUGUCUUCUCCAUUUUACUCUCUGACAGGACAUAAAUAAGCAGUUAAGUUUCCCCUAAGUGUACUUGGAAAUUGCAGAGCCAGUCCUCAAACUGGUUCUGGAGACCAUACCUCAGAGUGUUCUGUUGAUAUCUGUGACCUAAAUAUGCUUGAGUCCUAACCUAUAUUCUGAAAUGGUAAGUUGGUAAACUUAGAUAGCUGUAUGUAAGGACAUAGGAAAGAGAUUCACUAAAUAGAGUCUAAUUAUAAUGGUGAGUGUGAUUUGAAAUUGGAUAGAAUUUACAGUAUAAAUAAUACUUCCCUAAUUCAUUACUUUAAAAUUAUAUAAAUGAUAAAUUGCAAAUUGCAGACAUUCGCCUUCUUUGCAGCCGUGUGUGUGUGUGUGUGUGUGUGUGUGUGUGUGUGUGUGUGUGUAUCAAUGGUCAAAGUCUUAACUUUUCAGGAAGACCUCGGUGAGCAGUACCUACAGGCUACCCAGUAAAAAUCAGUUUUACCAUUGAAGAACUCAUGGGACUAGCAACAUUAACUCACAAAUCUAAACAUUUGCAGUACAAGCUUGGUGACACAAGGCCCUGGCAACCGCACAAAGGUGGAAGGGGAGAACAAAAUGGACUCCACAAGAUUGACCUCUGACAGAUGUAUUAUGGUGCACAUGGGUUCUGCCCACAUUGUAUACUGAAAUACAUAGAUGAAAUUCUAGUAAUGAAUAAAAUUUAAUAAUUAUUCAUCAUCAUCAUCACUACCAUCAUCAUCAUCAUUGCCUCAGGCACUCCACAUAGUUUAACGGAUAUCUCUGUGUUAUGUUAGAAGCUAUCAAAAUGAUCACUUGCUCUUAGUGGAAGUUUCUGGAAUCUUGUGUAAAUCUGCAUGUAGCACAGGAGAUUCUGUGAUUAUUUUUAUCCAGUAAAAUCUGUCUGAGUAGCUAGGACAGACUAAGGCCUCUGAGAUUAUAACAUCUCGAAGAAGAUGAUGUGGUUCUUAAACAACAUGAGGCUGUGUUUCCUACUAAGUUCGGUCAUUUCUCUCCAUGGUACUCAGCUCUUUUUGCCCUGGUAUGUAUGGAUUUCUUUAGAAACCAUAAUAGGGGAGACCCACUCUUGGAUGCAAAAUAAAUACAGAUUUAUUUACACUGAGUUAGCAGUGAUUUCUUUCUGAAAGGGAACUUUUUUUCUAGCAAUGUAGCAAUGAAUAACAUGUUUAAUGAAAUAUGCUGUUGCCCAUAGAAAAUAUUUUACUACUGCUAUAGUAUAAAGUGCAAUAUGUAUCAAGAAUGUAUUAUGUUAGUCAAAGGACUGCUGAUUAGCCUCUUUGAAGCUGAAGGUGUCGUCCUUCUUCUCUAUAGAGGCUCCAUUUUUAAACUGGGAGUCCUGUGGGAGUCCUGUCUAUAGGUCUCACAGAGAGUGUUCAGUAUUGAUUUACCAUAUUCUUUCUUUCUUUUCUUUUUCUUUUUUCUUUUUUCUUUAGUAUAGAAUAGAGUUUAUU